UGCCAGCCGCCGCGGUAAUACGAAGGUCCCAAGCGUUGUUCGGAAUCACUGGGCGUAAAGGGAGCGUAGGCGGUUUGGUAAGUCAGAUGUGAAAUCCCAGGGCUCAACCCUGGAACUGCAUCCGAUACUGCCGGACUUGAGUAAUGGAGGGGUAGCUGGAAUUUACGGUGUAGCAGUGAAAUGCGUGGAUAUCGUAAGGAACACUCGUGGCGAAAGCGAGCUACUGGACAUUUACUGACGCUGAGGCUCGAAGGCUAGGGUAGCGAAAGGGAUUAGAUA
rnacentral:rRNA from 1 species